rnacentral:rRNA from 1 species
UACGUAGGGUGCGAGCGUUAAUCGGAAUUACUGGGCGUAAAGCGUGCGCAGGCGGUUCACUAAGACCGAUGUGAAAUCCCCGGGCUUAACCUGGGAACUGCAUUGGUGACUGGUGGGCUGGAGUAUGGCAGAGGGGGGUGGAAUUCCACGUGUAGCAGUGAAAUGCGUAGAGAUGUGGAGGAACACCGAUGGCGAAGGCAGCCCCCUGGGCCAAUACUGACGCUCAUGCACGAAAGCGUGGGGAGCAAACAGG